GGGCUCGUAGUCUAGUACGGAUUAAGGCACUGAACCAAUUUGAUAUAUUCUUGGUGUGUAUGCCUCCGGUCAAUAUUUUGGAAGAAAGCCAGAAUCCAGGGGUUCAAAUCCCCUCGGGCCCG
rnacentral:tRNA from 1 species